AUCGAGCUGAUGAGUUCAAGAUAGGACGGAACGCGCGUCCUGGAU
rfam:Schistosoma curassoni strain Dakar, Senegal genome assembly, scaffold: SCTD_scaffold0001826